rnacentral:rRNA from 1 species
AACUCAUAACUAGAGACGAUAGAGGAUAGUAGAUUCUAGUGUAGAGUGAAAUCUUAGAUAUAGGAGGAUACCGGUGGCGAAGGCGGCUAUCUGGGUCGUUACUGACGCUGAGGCGCGAAAGCGUGGGGAGCAAACAGGAUUAGAUACCCUGGUAGUCCACGCUGUAAACGAUGAGUGUUAGGUGUUGGGAUUUAUAUCUCAGUGCCGUAGCUAACGCGUUAAACACUCCGCCUGGGGAGUAAGAUCGCAAGAUUAAAACUCAAAGGAAUUGACGGGGACCUGCACAAGUGGUGGAACAUGCGGUUUAAUUCGAUGUCACGCGAAAAACCUUACCAACUCUUGACAUGGUGGUCGCGAGGUGCAGAAAUGUACUUCUUCAGUUCGGCUGGACCACACACAGGUGUUGCAUGGCCGUCGUCAGCUCGUGUUGUGAGAUGUUAGGUUAAGUCCUGCAACGAGCGCAACCCCUAUCCUUAUUUGCCAGCGGGUUAAGCCGGGAACUAUAAGGAAACUGCCAGCGACAAGCUGGAGGAAGGUGGGGAUGAAGUCAGGUCAGCAUGGCCCUUAUGGGUUGGGCUACACGCGUGUUACAAUGAUAAUUACAAAGGGAAGCGAAAGAGCGAUCUGAAGCAAAUCUCAAAAAAGUUAUCUUAGUUCGGAUUGCACCCUGCAACUCGGGUGCAUGAAGUUGGAAUCACUAGUAAUCGCAGAUCAGCAUGCUGCGGUGAAUACGUUCACAGGUCUUGUACACACUGCCCGUCAAGCCAUGGAAGUUGACUUUAUCUGAAAUUGGUGAGCUAACCCGCAAGGGAAGCAGCCACUUAUGGUAGAGUUGAUGACUGGGGUUAAGUCGUAACAAGGUAACCAAGGG